GGGACAUCUGUGAGGGCAGUCUGGUUGAGACAUCUGUCACCCCAAUAGUGCUAGAGCUGACUCAGCUGAUCAGACUGGACAGGCAGGUGUUCCCUUCCCCUCCUCACUGCCCCAUGUACAUCUCUUCUGAAGCUGCACACUACACCACUGAGUCGGACAGGACAAUCUCUCCUGAGUAGAGAAGCUAGGUUUUUGGUUAAGGGUACACAAGUGGCUGCACGCCUCCACACGAGCUUACAAGUUCCCAGGCUACACAGCUAGGAUGUGAGAGGACCAGACACUGAGUCAGGCUGUCCCAAAGGUUCACCUGUCUACAGGACUACUGUUC
rnacentral:snRNA from 1 species